rnacentral:rRNA from 1 species
CAGUAGCCACGGUAAUACAGAGGGUGCAAGCGUUAAUCGGAAUUACUGGGCGUAAAGCGCGCGUAGGUGGUUUGUUAAGUUGGAUGUGAAAUCCCCGGGCUCAACCUGGGAACUGCAUCCAAAACUGGCAAGCUAGAGUAUGGUAGAGGGUGGUGGAAUUUCCUGUGUAGCGGUGAAAUGCGUAGAUAUAGGAAGGAACACCAGUGGCGAAGGCGACCACCUGGACUGAUACUGACACUGAGGUGCGAAAGCGUGGGGAGCAAACAGGAUUAGAGACCCCGGUAGUCCCUGUCUCUUAUAC